CGUGAUUGGAUCCGCUUUUUUGCAAAGGAGAAAACAUUUUCAUUUCUCCAAAAAUCGAAAUCGCGACUAGGGUCCUUCUUCCUCUCCAAAGCGGCGAUAGCUUCCUGGUCAUCAUCUUCUCCGAUUAAGGUCCGGCGAUUUGAAGUCGAAGUCGAAAUCCUUUCCUUACGCCUUUGUAUCCUCGUCUCCUCUGUCUCCCAAAUCUCAUCUCCGGCGAAAUAGACAAGGUAGUCCCCUCGUGUCCUCUCUCAGUUAUGUUUCAUCGAUUUUGGGUCUUGAAAUCUGUGAAUUAGGUUUGGGUUUAGUAUAAAUGUUAUAGGGUUUCAUCUAAUCUGUCAAUUAAAGGUUUGGAUUGGUCUCGGAUGUUUGAUUGGUUUAUGUCUUGCAAUUUGUGAUUGUCUUGCAAUUUGGAUAAUGAUCUCUGUUUCCACUUGA